CGACUUAUACCGUAUUUCCAUCUUAGCCUAUUAAAGGCCUUCCCACCUCCCUCUCUCCCAUCUCCCUCCUUCCCGCAUUCGGAGCUGGGUGGGUUUCCUCUUCCCUCUGGCAGAAGCUCUGAUCUCGUUCACGAUGAAUGCCCCGAUCGAAGAAUUGCGCUCUUCGUGCGAAUACGAAGCUCUCGUCCAGUCAAGAUCAUGAUUCGAUGCAGAACCAUCAAUCCCGAAAAUCUUCACAUAGCCGGCAAAAGCAGCAAUUGGAGCAAAGGAAAUGACAGCAGCAGACAUGUGGACUAGGGAACCGUAAUAAUGAAGGAAAUGCAGGAGUCCAUUACCAUGAGGAGCCUUAAUCACUUGAUGUCAUAAGCUUGAUAGAUUUGGCAACAACUUCUCAUCAAUAUUAUUCUAGCCAUAUGGAUGGCAAGAAGGAGGGAUAGAACACAUAUAUGUUGGAAGGGAUAUACUUGGUUAUCAGUAACAAGAACGGAUGCUGUUGUCAGAAGGAAUGUACUUGAUGAUCGGUAAUGAGAAACUGAUGCAAUUGUCUGAGUGUCUGACAAUCUCAGAUUUAUAUUUGGUAUGAAUAAUCAUGAUUGAUAUUGCAUUAGGAUGAAGCGUCUGCUAAGGGCCUGUUUGGAUGUCUGGGCCCAAAAUCCCAUGGAUUUGGGCCGGCCCUCUUUGGGUAUUUAUAAAGAUAGGUCUAGCCCAGCCCGAUUUAGCUGGUUAUGUUGACCCAACCUACGAGUCCUAUGGGAUUUUGGGCCUAGACAUCCAAACGGACCCUAAGAGAGAAAAAGCCUUAACCCUAUGGGUUCACAUUGUUCCUUUUGUGAAACUACAUCUUGCUGUUGCCUUAUAAUUUUUCAUCACCUUCUAAAUCUACAGUGAUUAUCAUAUAUUACCGUUUCUUUUGCGUACUUAAUUGCAUCCUGCUGGUUUAAGGAUUUUCCAGGUGGUGUAUGAGAGUGAAUGGAAUUCCAAGUUACAGGUUGCAGAAGCUUGAUGAGCUGCCUCCAACUGCUUAGCAUUGUUGGCACAUUCAAAUCCUGUGAAGGUGCUUUAUUUGCUGGAUGGCAAAAACUGAUGGAGAUGUACGGUGGCAUUUCUUAGCUCAAGGUUGGUGAGAUGUGUCCUAAGUCUGAUGCCAAUUAUUAUGACAUGGAGACAACUUCAUGCUUGUGGGGAACUCAAGGAAAGCAGUAACAUUCACUCUGUUGGUAUGGUAAGUGCGAGUUCCCUCCUCUUUUUUUUUUUUGACCUUUACCGGAUCCCAUAUCAAUACUAUGUUAGUACAGUGUUGAUAUAUAUCCCAUAGGAGGUUGGUUUCGCAUACCAAUACUCAAUACACACCUCAGUACCCGGCCAUUUGCUUGCAUAUUGUUAUAAAGUGGAACUAGCCAGUUGGAAGAUGACCUCGUGUUGAAGAGCGCAAAACAUCCUGCUAUAUAAUUAGCCGGCUUAUUGCCUUACCCUGUGCGCGUGAAACCGAGAGGUGCUACGACUCAUCAUGCACCUGUUUAAUGUGUCACAGCAUUAAACAAUGAUUAACUAUUGCCAUGCACUCAUGCUCAACUAGAAAGUAGUGUUAACAUCGACUAAAGAUGCUAGAGUCCAAAACAAAGUUGGAUCAAGAACUAGGUGCUCGGUUCAGGUGCGAUCAUGUGACUUCUGCAGAAUCUGUCAUUCGCUUGUCUCCAUUGAUUUAGCUUGCUAAUAUAUUGGGACAUCAGUGCAAUCAACAACCUGCUGCAAUUAUUUUAGGUAGGGGUGGUGAAUUAUAUUUUCAAAAGGAUCGAAAUUAUGGUUAAUUGAAGUGGAUUUUGAAAAGGGG